UACGGGGGGAGCAAGCGUUGUUCGGAAUUACUGGGCGUAAAGGGCUCGUAGGCGGCCAACUAAGUCAGACGUGAAAUCCCUCGGCUUAACCGGGGAACUGCAUCUGAUACUGGAUGGCUUGAGUUCGGGAGAGGGAUGUGGAAUUCCAGGUGUAGCGGUGAAAUGCGUAGAUAUCUGGAGGAACACCGGUGGCGAAGGCGGCAUCCUGGACCGACACUGACGCUGAGGAGCGAAAGCCAGGGGAGCGAACGGG
rnacentral:rRNA from 1 species